ensembl:lncRNA novel transcript
CCAAAGAUUGGAUGAACCAGUGGCAAGAAAAUGCCAGGUGGAAACAUCCCAACAGACAGUCCAUGAGCGAUGGUGGAACUCUGUGCUGCACCACCCACAUGCCUCGCAGCUGAGUCCUUCUCCAGAACUUUCCUUCACCUGGAGGAAGGUGCCUAGUUCAAGCUUAGGAUUCAUCCUGCCAAGCCUCCCUCGGAUGCUGAGGAGAAGCCACUCUAUGAGAUGUUCAAGGAGGCCUCAUCACGGACCUAUCCGGCUGAGAAGUUCCAUUGGUCCAGCUCCUUCACUACCCAGCACAGGUAAUGACAACGCACUUGAGGAAACUCGAUAGGUUGGCUACCUUGAAAUGGAGAAGGAGGUCAAGAAACACAUAUCCUAACUUUCAGAAGGAACUGUCUGGGAUAAUUAAUCAACACAUCACCAACACCAAGGGAUUGUUUUAUAUCAGAAGACGUAUAAUUAAAAAAAAACAAUAGCA